GACUCUGAAACAAACAAACAAAGUCAAACGAUUUUGUUGGUAACACUUUCGUAAAAUGUAUUAAACAAGCUGUCAUAACAAAAACAUUAGUCACAAAUUGCUUGUCGCAUGCACGUUUCACGAGGAGUUCAGGUGAACUGAAAGCUGGAAUCAAACGGACAGGCGUACUGGAGCAACGAGUCCUGCCCUCUGCCGAAGAGAAUUUCCGAACAUGUACGAAGGUAAACGGAAAAAUCCGAAGGGAAGAAAUGACUAGGGACGAAUGAAUGGACAGCAAAGUGAUCGACACAUUACUGUUUUUCUUCAUUUACUUUGACAUUUGUAAUACUUAUUAAAUUCAUAUUCGUA